GAUGAACGCUGGCGGCGUGCCUAAUACAUGCAAGUCGAGCGAACAGACGAGGAUCUUGCUCCUCUGACGUUAGCGGCGGACGGGUGAGUAACACGUGGAUAACCUACCUAUAAGACUGGGAUAACUUCGGGAAACCGGAGCUAAUACCGGAUAAUAUAUUGAACCGCAUGGUUCAAUAGUGAAUGACGGUUUUGCGGUCACUUAUCGAUGGAUCCGCGCCGCAUUAGCUAGUUGGUAACGUAACGGCUUACCAAGGCAACGAUGCGUAGCCGACCUGAGAGCGUGUAGGGCGCCACUGGAGCUGAGACACGGCCCAGACUCCGACGGGCGGCAGCAGUAGCGAAUCUUCCGCAAUGGGCGAAAGCCUGACGGAGCAACGCCGCGUGAGUGCUGAAGGUCUUCGGAUCGUAAAACUCUGUUAUUAGGGAAGAACAAAUGUGUAAGUAACUAUGCACGUCUUGACGGUACCUAAUCAGAAAGCCACGGCUAACUACGUG
rnacentral:rRNA from 1 species